rnacentral:rRNA from 1 species
UACGUAGGGGGCUAGCGUUGUCCGGAAUCAUUGGGCGUAAAGCGCGUGUAGGCGGUCCGGUAAGUCCGCUGUGAAAGUCGGGGGCUCAACCCUGGGAUGCCGGUGGAUACUGUCGGGCUCGAGUACGGAAGAGGCGAGUGGAAUUCCUGGUGUAGCGGUGAAAUGCGCAGAUAUCAGGAGGAACACCAAUUGCGAAGGCAGCUCGCUGGGACGUUACUGACGCUGAGACGCGAAAGCGUGGGGAGCAAACAGG